rnacentral:rRNA from 1 species
GAUGAACGCUGGCGGCGUGCCUAAUACAUGCAAGUCGAGCGAACAGACGAGGAGCUUGCUCCUCUGACGUUAGCGGCGGACGGGUGAGUAACACGUGGAUAACCUACCUAUAAGACUGGGAUAACUUCGGGAAACCGGAGCUAAUACCGGAUAAUAUAUUGAACCGCAUGGUUCAAUAGUGAAAGACGGUUUUGCUGUCACUUAUAGAUGGAUCCGCGCCGCAUUAGCUAGUUGGUAAGGUAACGGCUUACCAAGGCAACGAUGCGUAGCCGACCUGAGAGGGUGAUCGGCCUCACUGGAACGGGGACACGGUCCAGACUCCUACGGGAGGCAGCAGUAGGGAAUCUGCCGCAAUGGGCGAAAGCCUGACGGAGCAACGCCGCGUGAGUGAUGAAGGUCUUCGGAUCGUAAAACUCUGUUAUUAGGGAAGAACAAAUGUGUAAGUAACUAUGCACGUCUUGACGGUACCUAAUCAGAAAGCCACGGCUAACUACGUG